rnacentral:rRNA from 1 species
UACGAAGGGGGCGAGCGUUGUUCGGAAUUACUGGGCGUAAAGGGCGCGCAGGCGGCCUUAGAAGUCAGAUGUGAAAGCCCCGGGCUCAACCUGGGAAUGGCAUUUGAUACUCUGAGGCUGGAGUACGGGAGAGGAGAGUGGAAUUCCCAGUGUAGAGGUGAAAUUCGUAGAUAUUGGGAAGAACACCGGUGGCGAAGGCGGCUCUCUGGACCGUAACUGACGCUGAGGCGCGAAAGCGUGGGGGGCAAACAGG